GAUGAACGCUGGCGGCGUGCCUAAUACAUGCAAGUCGAACGCUGGAGAUCUAGCUUGCUAGAUCGAAGGAGUGGCGAACGGGUGAGUAAUACAUAAGCAACCUACCCACGAAGACUGGGAUAAUCUCUGGAAACGGGGACUAAUACCGGAUAGGUAAUCGGAAGGCAUCUUCUGGUUAUUAAAGGUUAAAAACACUGGUGGAUGGGCUUAUGGCGCAUUAGUUAGUUGGUGAGGUAACGGCCCACCAAGACGAUGAUGCGUAGCCGGCCUGAGAGGGUGAACGGCCACAUUGGGACUGAGACACGGCCCAGACUCCUACGGGAGGCAGCAGUAGGGAAUUUUCGGCAAUGGGGGCAACCCUGACCGAGCAACGCCGCGUGAGUGAAGACGGCCUUCGGGUUGUAAAGCUCUGUUGUAAGGGAAGAACGGUAGAUAGAGAAUAUCUAAGUGACGGUACCUUACCAGAAAGCCACGGCUAACUACGUGCCAGCAGCCGCGGUAAUACGUAGGUGGCGAGCGUUACCCGGAAUUAUUGGGCGUAAAGGGUGCGUAGGCGGCCUGUUAAGUAAGUGGUUAAAUUGUUGGGCUCAACCCAAUCCAGCCACUUAAACUGGCAGGCUAGAGUAUUGGAGAGGCAAGUGGAAUUCCAUGUGUAGCGGUAAAAUGCGUAGAUAUAUGGAGGAACACCAGUGGCGAAGGCGGCUUGCUAGCCAAAGACUGACGCUCAUGCACGAAAGCGUGGGGAGCAAAUAGG
rnacentral:rRNA from 1 species